rnacentral:rRNA from 1 species
AAAUUGAAGAGUUUGAUCAUGGCUCAGAUUGAACGCUGGCGGCAGGCCUAACACAUGCAAGUCGAACGGUAACAGGAAGCAGCUUGCUGCUUCGCUGACGAGUGGCGGACGGGUGAGUAAUGUCUGGGAAACUGCCUGAUGGAGGGGGAUAACUACUGGAAACGGUGGCUAAUACCGCAUAACGUCGCAAGACCAAAGAGGGGGACCUUCGGGCCUCUUGCCAUCAGAUGUGCCCAGAUGGGAUUAGCUUGUUGGUGAGGUAACGGCUCACCAAGGCGACGAUCCCUAGCUGGUCUGAGAGGAUGACCAGCCACACUGGAACUGAGACACGGUCCAGACUCCUACGGGAGGCAGCAGUGGGGAAUAUUGCACAAUGGGCGCAAGCCUGAUGCAGCCAUGCCGCGUGUAUGAAGAAGGCCUUCGGGUUGUAAAGUACUUUCAGCGGGGAGGAAGGUGUUGCGGUUAAUAACCGCAGCAAUUGACGUUACCCGCAGAAGAAGCACCGGCUAACUCCGUGCCAGCAGCCGCGGUAAUACGGAGGGUGCAAGCGUUAAUCGGAAUUACUGGGCGUAAAGCGCACGCAGGCGGUCUGUCAAGUCGGAUGUGAAAUCCCCGGGCUCAACCUGGGAACUGCAUUCGAAACUGGCAGGCUUGAGUCUUGUAGAGGGGGGUAGAAUUCCAGGUGUAGCGGUGAAAUGCGUAGAGAUCUGGAGGAAUACCGGUGGCGAAGGCGGCCCCCUGGACAAAGACUGACGCUCAGGUGCGAAAGCGUGGGGAGCAAACAGGAUUAGAUACCCUGGUAGUCCACGCCGUAAACGAUGUCUACUUGGAGGUUGUGCCCUUGAGGCGUGGCUUCCGGAGCUAACGCGUUAAGUAGACCGCCUGGGGAGUACGGCCGCAAGGUUAAAACUCAAAUGAAUUGACGGGGGCCCGCACAAGCGGUGGAGCAUGUGGUUUAAUUCGAUGCAACGCGAAGAACCUUACCUGGUCUUGACAUCCACAGAACUUUCCAGAGAUGGAUUGGUGCCUUCGGGAACUGUGAGACAGGUGCUGCAUGGCUGUCGUCAGCUCGUGUUGUGAAAUGUUGGGUUAAGUCCCGCAACGAGCGCAACCCUUAUCCUUUGUUGCCAGCGGUCCGGCCGGGAACUCAAAGGAGACUGCCAGUGAUAAACUGGAGGAAGGUGGGGAUGACGUCAAGUCAUCAUGGCCCUUACGACCAGGGCUACACACGUGCUACAAUGGCGCAUACAAAGAGAAGCGACCUCGCGAGAGCAAGCGGACCUCAUAAAGUGCGUCGUAGUCCGGAUUGGAGUCUGCAACUCGACUCCAUGAAGUCGGAAUCGCUAGUAAUCGUGGAUCAGAAUGCCACGGUGAAUACGUUCCCGGGCCUUGUACACACCGCCCGUCACACCAUGGGAGUGGGUUGCAAAAGAAGUAGGUAGCUUAACCUUCGGGAGGGCGCUUACCACUUUGUGAUUCAUGACUGGGGUGAAGUCGUAACAAGGUAACCGUAGGGGAACCUGCGGUUGGAUCACCUCCUUA